GCAGUUAGUGAAACAAAGAUGAAGACAUCAGUCUUCUCCCAGAGAGUGAAGAACAGGAGUGUGAAGAGGAUGGUUCAGAGACAGAGACUGGUGGCCAGGAGGACCUAGAAGAUUUACAGGAGGAAGAGGAAGUGUCAGAUAUGGGUGGUGACAAUCCUGAAGUGGGCAAGAAAGCUAGAAACUCAAGCAAAUUUGAGCUGAGGAAAAGCCCAGUUUUCAGUGAUGAGGAUUCUGACCUUGACUUUGAUAUCAGCAAAUUGGAACAGCAGAGCAAGGUGCAAAACACAGGACAUGGAAAACCAAGAGAAAAGUCCAUAAUAGACGAGAAAUUCUUCCAACUCUCUGAAAUGGAGGCUUAUUUAGAAAACAGAGAAAAAGAAGAGGAACGAAAAGAUGAUAAUGAUGAUGAGUCAGGUAAAAGUUCCAGAAAUGUGAACAACAAAGAUUUUUUUGAUCCAGUUGAAAGUGAUGAAGACAUAGCAAGUGAUCAUGAUGAUGAGCUGGGUUCAAACAAGAUGAUGAAAUUGCUGAAGAAGAAGCAGAAGAAGGAAGCAUUUCUGAAAUGUGAGUAUUUUGAAACAUCCUUUACUUUGUGAGCUGGAAUUGCCCAAUCAGUGUUUGUAUUUGUGGUUUUCACAUAUGUUUGUUUUAAGAAGUUAGAUACUCUCCUAUCAGAUCUUCUCAAGAUAGCCAGAGGAAAGUCACUGGAUUUAAACGGACAUUAGAGAUCAUUUAAUGAAGAAAAAUAUUACUGACAGUAGCAAUCAAACCUUUCUUACCAGGAACUUUGAUUUGGUUUUGUGCCCCCAAAAUCCUGUUAUUUUUGUGAGAUAAGAGGUUUGUAUUAUAGAUUGAUGAAUAAUUUAUUUUCUAUAUAUUGGACCCUUUUUGUUUCUUACAUAGCAUUUCACUUAAAUGAUAGCUUCUCUUCCUUAAUACCUGAAUGAUUUUGGAAGUUCUAAGUAUCUGGUUGCAUUAGGCAUAUAAAAGAGGAACUUUGUUAAGGGAAAAUAUGUUUCCUUUUGUUUUUCUAAUGGAAAACAAUAUAUUUCUUUUUAUAAGAGUUUUGGUAGUGUAGGGAUGAAGGUGAUCACCUGGAAGAAAGAGAAGACAGUAAACAAUGUAAAGAAAGCUUGAAAAGAGUGACUUUUGCUUUGCCGGAUGAUGAGGCAACUGAAGAUGCAGGUGUUUUAAAUGUAAAGAAAAAUUCUGAUGAAGUUAAUCUUCUUUUGAAAAAAGACAGGAAAAGGUAAUUAGGAAUUUAAGGAAUUUUUAAUAUGCUUCGCAUGAUUGUGGAACUCACAGACUACUAACAAAUCUUCCCUAUUUUCUUUCUUUUUUUUUUGAGAUGGAGUCUUGCUCUGUCACCCAGGCUGGAGUGCAAUGGCGUGAUCUCGGCUCACUGCAGCCUCCACCUCCCGGGUUCAAGUGAUUCUGCCUCAGCCUCCUGAGUAGCUGAGAUUAAAGGUGCAUUCCACCAUGCCUGGCCAAUUUUUGUAUUUUUAGAAGACAUGGGGUUUCACCGUGUUGGCCAGGCUGAUCUCGAACUCCUGACCUCAGGUGAUCCUCCUGCCUUGGCCUCCCAAAGUGCUGAGAUUACAGGCGUGAGCCACUGUGCCCUAGCCUUCCCUAUUUUUCUUGUUGUAACUAUUAACCAUCCUUUGAAAACAAAUAUCUUGGCCAGGUGUGGUGGUUGAUGCCUGUAAUCCUAGCACUUUGGUAGUCUGAAGCGGGAGGAUCACUUGAGCUCAGGAGUUCAAGACCAGCCUGGGCAACAUAGUGAGGCCCUGUCUCUACAAAAAAUAAAAAAAUUAGUGGGGCAUGGUGGUGUAUGCCUGUAAUCCAGCGACUCAGGUGGCUGAGGCGGGAGGAUCACUUGAGCCCAGGAGGUUGAUGCUGCAGUGAGCUAUGAUCACAUCACUGCUUUCCAGCCUGGGUGGUGGAGCAAGAUCCUGUCUUCAAACAAACAAACAAACAAACAAACAGAAAACUGAAGAUCUUGCUGCUACUCUCUAAAGCAAAAGCACAUCUUAUAGAGAUGCCAUAUGGAAAGCAUCUGAUUUGCAGAAAUCAGUGCCUGCGUUACCCAGCCUAUAGCUUUCAAUUUGGGGCCUGCGUGUAAAAUAGUUGUUUCUUUUCUCUCUCCCUUGUGUCUUUAUAUGUAUAGCCUGUCUCUCCUGACAAAGCUGUCCUGAGAGCCUCUUCUUGUAACUGUUUUGACUGCUCUAGAGGAUACCGCCUAUGUCUUUAAGGUGCUCCACAGAUUUUGGUGAAUGUCAAAUAGCUGUAAUUUUAAUUAAUACCAGGACAAACAUAUCUUCCCAAAGUAUGUCAUGAUUUCAGACAAGUGAAAUCUCAUUAAUUUUAGUAGAUAUAGUCUGGCUCCAAUAAUUUGGCUAUAUUAUUUAUCCAAUCCCAAAAUUUUAUUAUAAUAAAAAUGAGAAUAGUGCCAGGCACAGUAGCUCACACUUGUAAUCCCAGCACUUUGGGAGACUGAGGAGGGAGGAUUGCUUGAGCCCAAGUGUUCAAGACCAGCAUGGACAACACGGUGAAACCCCGUCUCCACUACAAAUUUAAAAAAUUAGCUGGGUGUGGUAGCAUGAGCCUAUAGUCUCUGCUACUCGAGAGGCUUAUCGGGGAUGAUCACUUGAGUCCAGCAGUUCAAGGCUGCAGUGAGCUAUGAUUGGACUAGGCACUCCAGCCUGGGCAACAGAGCUGGAGAACAGGCAAAUAAACUAUACCAAGAAUAUCAAAAGAAUUAUUUUUAAAAUCUGCGAAUCUAAAUUAAAUUCAUCGUUGUCAGAUUGUCCCAAGAAAAUAAAUUCUAAAGGGGGAAAAAAACCAUAAAGUAUCAAUGAGUUAGUGUCCUCCCAUCCCACUCCUCCCACCCUUCCCCCACAAAAAAGAAAGAAAGGUUUGGUUUUGCUUUGAAAUUAUAUCAGACCUUCAAGUGAAAUUUUCAGUAAAUCACAAAUAAUUUAUUGCAAUUUCCACAGAUAAAGAAUAAAAUAGAACUUUCAAACUUUUUUCUUUUCAAACUGUUAGAACAUGAAAACCCAAACCUGACAAAGGUGGCGUUAAAACACACACACUCUCUCAUUCAUGACUAGUGAUGCAAACAUAGCACAGUGGGAAAAUUAUGCCACACAACCACAUGAACCUUAUCCUUUUGAAUCACUAUUAGAAGAUCUGAUAUGAUUCCUGGUUGCAAGACGUUAAGGAGAAAAUACACGGUUCCCUCCAUAUAUGUUAGAAAGACAUUUGAUAAAAUUCAAUAUUUAUUUCUGAUUUUUUUUUAACUCCUAGUGGGUUAUAAAUACAUCUAGCCAAAAGCUGCCAUCAUGCAUGAUGGGUGAAAUUCUACAAACAUCCCUUUAAGAUCAGGAAUAAGACAAAAUGUCCAGUAUUACAGUUACCCCUGUUAAUUAACACUAACAGUUAAUAGCCACAUAAGCCAGUGCAACUACAAAAGAUAAGAGAUUAGGAAAACUUCCAGGAGCAGUGGUUCACACCUGUAAUCCCAGCACUUUGGGAGCUCAGGAGCUCUCAGCACUUGAGCUCAGGAGUUUGAGACCAGCCCAGGCAACAUGGUGAGACCUCAUCUCUGCAAAAAAAUACAAAAUUAGCUGGGCGCGUUACAUGUGCCUGUGUCCCAGCUACUUGGGAGUCUGAAGUGAGAGGACUGCUUGAGCCUGGGAGAUGGAGGUUGCAAUGAGCUGAGAUAGUGCAGCUGUACUCCAGCCUGGGCAACAGAGCGAGACUCUGUCUCAAAAAAAAAAAAAAAAAAAAAAA
ensembl:lncRNA MPHOSPH10P1 MPHOSPH10 pseudogene 1